rnacentral:rRNA from 1 species
UUGCGAAGGCAGCCUGCUAAGCUGCAACUGACAUUGAGGCUCGAAAGUGUGGGUAUCAAACAGGAUUAGAUACCCUGGUAGUCCACACGGUAAACGAUGAAUACUCGCUGUUUGCGAUAUACUGCAAGCGGCCAAGCGAAAGCGUUAAGUAUUCCACCUGGGGAGUACGCCGGCAACGGUGAAACUCAAAGGAAUUGACGGGGGCCCGCACAAGCGGAGGAACAUGUGGUUUAAUUCGAUGAUACGCGAGGAACCUUACCCGGGCUUAAAUUGCAGAUGAAUUACGGUGAAAGCCGUAAGCCGCAAGGCAUCUGUGAAGGUGCUGCAUGGUUGUCGUCAGCUCGUGCCGUGAGGUGUCGGCUUAAGUGCCAUAACGAGCGCAACCCUUGUUGUCAGUUACUAACAGGUUCCGCUGAGGACUCUGACAAGACUGCCAUCGUAAGAUGUGAGGAAGGUGGGGAUGACGUCAAAUCAGCACGGCCCUUACGUCCGGGGCUACACACGUGUUACAAUGGGGGGUACAGAGGGCCGCUACCACGCGAGUGGAUGCCAAUCCCCAAAACCUCUCUCAGUUCGGACUGGAGUCUGCAACCCGACUCCACGAAGCUGGAUUCGCUAGUAAUCGCGCAUCAGCCACGGCGCGGUGAAUACGUUCCCGGGCCUUGUACACACCGCCCGUCAAGCCAUGGGAGCCGGGGGUACCUGAAGUGCGUAACCGCGAGGAGCGCCCUAGGGUAAAACUGGUGACUGGGGCUAAGUCGUAACAAGGUAGCCGUACCGGAAGGGGCGGCUG